rnacentral:lncRNA from 1 species
CGUUACCAUCUCUCAGCUCAUUCUGAAGGUGUAUAUGUUGUUUUUAUUUUAUUAAUGAAGGAAAUCAAAGGAUAAAUGGAAGUAGACAUACUCUUUAACGUUUACAAAGGUUUUUUUCACACCCAAUGUACUCUGGUUUCACAGUUAGUGGGAUCGGCAAGACAGAUGUGAUCAUUCCAUUUUACAGAUGAGGAAACUGAGACUCAGACAGGUAAAGUGACUGGCCAAGCUCACGUAGCUAGUUGGCAGCAGAGAAUCCAGGUCUUCUCCCGCAUCCAAAAAACGUGGAUAUCUGUUAGGUGUACGUAGCUACUUAUACGCACCCAAUCUGGAAAGGGAAGUCCUCUGUUGUUCAGUGAAGGCUCUGCUCUGUAACCUUCAGUGAGCAGAAGUGGAGAGGAUGAAUCACAAGAGGACGUGCUGAUGGAUGAAGCUCCUUCCAACCUCAGCCAAGCUUCCACCUUGCAGGCCAACCGAGAAGAUUCCAUGAAUAUCCUGGACCCUGAGGAUGAGGAGGAGCACACUCAGGAAGAGGACAGCAGUGGCAGUAACGAGGAUGAGGAUGAUAGUCAGGAUGAAGAGGAGGAGGAGGAGGAAGAUGAGGAAGAUGAUCAGGUGAGGGGGGACUGUGUUUGGGUGGUUCAGAUGACCUCUUCCAUGGGAGCACAGAACUACAGAAAAUCAACAGUCUGGGUUGCUAGCUAGCCUCGUCGCCUGCCUCCCCUCAUGUGCUCAUGUGGCCAUGAC